rnacentral:rRNA from 1 species
UCGGGAAUUUUGGGCAAUGGGGGGAACCCUGAUCCAGCAAUGCCGCGUGUGUGAAGAAGGCCUGAGGGUUGUAAAGCACUUUCAGUGGGGAGGAGGGUUUAUGGGUUAAGAGCUAGUAGACUGGACGUUACCCACAGAAGAAGCACCGGCUAACUCCGUGCCAGCAGCCGCGGUAAUACGGAGGGUGCGAGCGUUAAUCGGAAUUACUGGGCGUAAAGGGUGCGUAGGUGGUAUGGUAAGUUAUCUGUGAAAUCCCUGGGCUCAACCUGGGCAGGUCAGAUGAUACUGCUGUACUCGAGUAUGGGAGAGGGUAGUGGAAUUUCCGGUGUAGCGGUGAAAUGCGUAGAGAUCGGAAGGAACACCAGUGGCGAAGGCGGCUACCUGGCCUAAUACUGACACUGAGGCACGAAAGCGUGGGGAGCAAACAGGAUUAGAUACCCACGUAGUCCCUGAGCGGGCUGGCAAGGCGCAU